rnacentral:rRNA from 1 species
GAUGAACGCUAGCGGCAGGCUUAAUACAUGCAAGUUGAGGGGCAGCAUGAUAUACGCGAGUAUAUUGAUGGCGACCGGCGGACGGGUGAGUAAUAGGUAGGAGACCUACCUCAUACAGGGGGAUAGCAUAGAGAAAUCUGUGGUAAUACCCCAUGAGGUUAUAUGAAUAGAGGCAUAUAAUCAAAGCAUAAGCGAUUAUGCGGUAUGAGAGGGGCCUACUGACCAUUAGCUAGUUGGUGAGGUAAGGGCUCACCAAGGCGAAGAUGGUUAGGGGUUUUGAGAGAGAGACCCCCCACAUUGGAACUGAGAGACGGUCCAGACUCCUACGGGAGGCAGCAGUAGGGAAUAUUGGGCAAUGGGCGAAAGCCUGACCCAGCCAUGCCGCGUGAAGGAAGACGGCCUUAUGGGUUGUAAACUUCUUUACUACGCGAAUAGAGGUUAGUACGAGAUACUAAUAGGAAGGUAGUGUAGUAAAAGCACUGGCUAACU